rnacentral:lncRNA from 1 species
CCCGCGGCCCCUGGCGCGCAGCGACUCAGAGACCGUCUACGAGGCCAUCCAGGAUGUGCACGGCCCGCCGCGGGAGGAGAGCGGGGAACAGGGGUGGCGCGCUGGGGACCGCGCCCGCACGGAGCCGGGGCGCGAGGAGACCUGCUCCGCUCAGCGUCGGGCACGAUGCCCACCUCUGUCUGAAGACUUGGAAUGAGCUCCCUCUCCCCAACCGCGAAACGGGAGCGGUGCAAGCCCCUAGUCCCUCAUCUGCGAUUCCCAAGCUCCAAAGCUGCCUGGAAGCCCAGAAGUUUUUCGUAAUCCAAUUGGUGGCAAAAUUGCGCUUGAACUGAUGUGAGGCUGUUGAUGGUCUUUAUUUGUCAAACUUGUGUGAAUAUUCAUGUUUUGCUGCAGAAAUGCAAAUGAGCUCGAUGACCGGCUGCUGCCCCAAGCCCUGCUGGGAGGUUAUGUGACCUACAGCAGGUGUGUGCCCCAUAGUCUCUUUCCAAGUCCCAGCUGUUCUGUAUUCCGAAGCGCAUCUGGGCACGGAACGGGGGAUUGCGGGCUUGCCGCCGGCUCAACAGCCUUGCCAGUCUCCCAGGAGCCUGGGGUCAGAUGAGAGGGUGGAUGUGAAACUCAGGCGUCUGCUUCCCUUUGAGGGUGCUUCCAACAUUUCAGAUGGGUUUGUUUGGGUGCUUCCAACAUUGAUGGGUUUGUUUCAGAAAGGCGUCCGGUUAUGGUGAGGUUGUUUUUUUUCUCUCUUCAGAAUCCGGUUGUGUUAAUCAGGGAAAUCGAAAAUAAAGCACGUUUUAAAAACACGCUUACAUCCUCAGAACACUCUGGGCGACCCUGACAUUUUGAACUUUAGGAACUUUUCAAGGAGGGGCAGCCCGAGUGGGAAAAAGAGAUGCUCAGAACCGUUCUUUCAUCUGCCACCAGCUGUGUGAUGAUCUAGGGGCAGUUCCCUUCCUCUCUCAGGGUCUCGGUUUGUUCUUUAGCCCAAAGGGAGGGGAUGGACAGAUGACCGCUGAACCUUGGGAGCCUCUGAUUUCUUUCGCUGUGCCUGAUGUCAUUACCAUGAACACUGAUGCCCACCAUGUGCCAGGACUGAGUCCGGGAUGCCCAAACGAAGAGACACGCCUCCGUAGGCCCGCUGCUGGAUGUUCCCUCCGCUCGACUCGUUACAAUGCAGAGCUCAGGUUUCGAGACUAG